rnacentral:rRNA from 1 species
GAUGAACGCUGGCGGCGUGCCUAAUACAUGCAAGUAGAACGCUGAAGGAAGGAGCUUGCUCUUUCCGGAUGAGUUGCGAACGGGUGAGUAACGCGUAGGUAACCUGCCUGGUAGCGGGGGAUAACUAUUGGAAACGAUAGCUAAUACCGCAUAACAGUAGAUGUUGCAUGAUAUCUACUUAAAAGGUGCAAUUGCACCACUACCAGAUGGACCUGCGUUGUAUUAGCUAGUUGGUGAGGUAACGGCUCACCAAGGCGACGAUACAUAGCCGACCUGAGAGGGUGAUCGGCCACACUGGGACUGAGACACGGCCCAGACUCCUACGGGAGGCAGCAGUAGGGAAUCUUCGGCAAUGGACGGAAGUCUGGCCGAGCAACGCCGCGUGAGUGAAGAAGGUUGUCGGAUCGUAAAGCUCUGUUGUAAGAGAAGAACGAGUGUGAGAGUGGAAAGUUCACACUGUGACGGUAUCUUACCAGAAAGGGACGGCUAACUACGUG